rnacentral:sRNA from 1 species
AUGAAUCUUGUGUGUAAAAUGAUGAGGUGUGCUCUGGGUCCCCUGGCUCAGCUGCAGCGAGACUUGAAGGUGUUGGGUACUUAUGAGUCUCCAAGCUGUGAGUGAAGGGAGGAGGCUGGGGCGCUCCCCACCCACGGGGUGCUAAUUAUUGAAAUAUUCUGGGAGCUGGGGGGCCCGGCUGAACUCCCGCCUUGAUCCCUCCUUCCCACCAGGCAUCCGGUCUUGGGAUGUCGAUCCUGGCGUCUGCAACCUUGAUGAACAGCUCAAGGUCUUUGUGUCCCGACACUCUGCCACCUUCUCCAGCAUUGUGAAAGGCCAGCGGAGCCUGCACCACCGUGGAGACAACCUGGAGACCCUGGUCCUCCUGAACCCAUCAGACAAGUCCCUGUGUGAUGAGCUCCGGAACCUUCUGUUGGACCCUGCCUCUCACAAGCUACUGGUGUUGGCUGGGCCCUGCCUGGAGGAGACGGGGGAGCUGCUGCUACAGACAGGGGGCUUCUCGCCUCACCACUUCCUCCAGGUCCUGAAGGACAGAGAGAUCCGGGACAUCCUGGCCACCACGCCCCCACCUGUGCAGCCGCCCAUACUCACCAUCACCUGCCCCACCUUCGGUGACUGGGCUCAGCUGGCACCCGCUGUGCCCGGCCUUCAGGGGGCGCUCCGGCUCCAGCUGCGGCUGAACCCCCCAGCGCAGCUGCCCAACUCUGAGGGACUGUG